rnacentral:rRNA from 1 species
UUUUCCCGUAGGUGAACCUGCCGAGGGAUCAUUACCGAGUUUACAACUCCCAAACCCCUGUGAACAUACCACUUGUUGCCUCGGCGGAUCAGCCCGCUCCCGGUAAAACGGGACGGCCCGCCAGAGGACCCCUAAACUCUGUUUCUAUAUGUAACUUCUGAGUAAAACCAUAAAUAAAUCAAAACUUUCAACAACGGAUCUCUUGGUUCUGGCAUCGAUGAAGAACGCAGCAAAAUGCGAUAAGUAAUGUGAAUUGCAGAAUUCAGUGAAUCAUCGAAUCUUUGAACGCACAUUGCGCCCGCCAGUAUUCUGGCGGGCAUGCCUGUUCGAGCGUCAUUUCAACCCUCAAGCACAGCUUGGUGUUGGGACUCGCGUUAAUUCGCGUUCCUCAAAUUGAUUGGCGGUCACGUCGAGCUUCCAUAGCGUAGUAGUAAAACCCUCGUUACUGGUAAUCGUCGCGGCCACGCCGUUAAACCCCCAACUUCUGAAUGUUGACCUCGGAUACAGGUAGGUAGG